rnacentral:rRNA from 1 species
CACGUAGGGCGCGAGCGUUGUCCGGAAUUAUUGGGCGUAAAGAGCUCGUAGGCGGCCUGUUGCGUCCGCUGUGAAAGCCCGGGGCUUAACCCCGGGUCGGCAGUGGAUACGGGCAGGCUAGAGGUAGGUAGGGGAGAAUGGAAUUCCCGGUGUAGCGGUGAAAUGCGCAGAUAUCGGGAGGAACACCGGUGGCGAAGGCGGUUCUCUGGGCCUUACCUGACGCUGAGGAGCGAAAGCGUGGGGAGCGAACAGGAUUAGAU